GAGUAAUCAAACGAGAUUCCCAUAGUAGCGGCGAGCGAACAGGGAAGAGCCCAAACCGGACGUCUUCGGACGACCGGGGUUGAGGACCAGCAUCAAGCAAAGACAGGAUAGUCGAACAGUCUGGGAAGGCUGAGCACAGACGGUGAAACUCCAGUAGACGAAAUCUUGUUUAGCAGGUUGGUAUCCAGAGUACCACGAGACACGAGGAACCUUGUGGGAAGCAGGGUGGACCACCAUCCAAGGCAAAAUACUACGGAACGACCGAUAGCGCAUAGUACCGUGAGGGAAAGGUGAAAAGAACCGCGGGAGCGGAGUGAAAUAGAACCUGAAACCGUAUGUCUACAAGCAGUCGAAGCACUUUAUACGUGCGACGGCGUGCCUAUUGAAGAAUGAACCGGCGAGUUAAUUUCAGAGGCGAGGUUAAGCAGGAGAUGCGGAGCCGAAGCGAGAGCGAGUCUGAAUAGGGCGCAAGUCUCUGGGAUUAGACCCGAAACCACAGUGAUCUAUGCAUGGCCAGGUUGAAGCUCAGGUAAAAAUGAGUGGAGGACCGAACCCGUGAGUGUUGAAAAACUUUGGGAUGAGCUGUGCAUAGGGGUGAAAUGCCAAUCGAACGUGGAGAUAGCUGGUUCUCCCCGAAAUAGCUUUAGGGCUAGCCUCAGGUAACACAUGAAGACGGUAGAGCACUGAUCGGGUAAGGGAGCGUAAAGCUUACCGAGCCUAGUCAAACUGCGAAUGGCUUCAUGAGAAGAGCCUGGGAGUCAGAAUGCGAGUGAUAAGACCCGUAUUCAAAAGGGAAACAGCCCAGACCGCCGACUAAGGUCCCGAAUGCUGUACUAAGUGGAAAAGGAUGUAGGACUUCCAAAACAACCAGGAUGUUGGCUCAGAAGCAGCCACCAUUCAAAGAGUGCGUAAUAGCUCACUGGUCGAGAGGCCCUGCGCCGAAAAUAUCCGGGGCUCAAGUACAGAACCGAAGUCGCGGGAUGCGCAAGCAUCGGUAGGGGAGCGUUCCAAGGGCGUUGAAGGCCGACCGGAAGGACGGCUGGAGCGCUUGGAAGUGAGAAUGCUGGUAUGAGUAGCGAAACGAUCCGUGAGAAUCGGAUCCACCGAAAGCCUAAGGGAUCCUGAGCAACGCUCGUCGACUCAGGGUAAGUCGGGACCUAAGCCGAGGCAUAAAGCAUAGGCGAUGGACAACAGGCGAAAAUUCCUGUACUGCAUGAUGUUGUUUGAGGAUGGAGUGACACAGCAAGGAGCUUGAGCGCGCGACUGGAAAUGCGCGUCGAAGGCGGUAGGCUGAGUGAGAGGCAAAUCCCUCACUCAAGGCCGAGAACUGACAGAUAGGAGCGUACUUCGGUACAAUCCGAAUUCAAGCGUACUACACUGUCGAGAAAAGCUUCUAACGAGACAUCAUGUACCCGUACCAAAACCGACACAGGUAGGCGGGGAGAGAAUCCUAAGGUGCGCGGGAAAACCCUCGUUAAGGAACUCGGCAAAAUGCAUCCGUAACUUCGGGAGAAGGAUGGCCGGAGCUAGUGAAGAGAUUGACUCUUGGAGCUGGAGCCGGCGGCAGAAGAGAAGCCCAAGCGACUGUUUACCACAAACACAGGUGCCUGCUAAAGAGAAAUCUGACGUAUAGGUGCUGACACCUGCCCGGUGCUGGAAGGUUAAGGAGAGAUGUCAGGAGCAAUCCGAAGCAUUGAACUGAAGCCCCAGUAAACGGCGGCCGUAACUAUAACGGUCCUAAGGUAGCGAAAUUCCUUGUCGGGUAAGUUCCGACCCGCACGAAAGGUGUAACGACUUGGGCACUGUCUCAACGAGGGACCCGGUGAAAUUGAAAUACCUGUGAAGAUGCAGGUUACCCGCGACUGGACAGAAAGACCCCAUGGAGCUUUACUGCAGCCUGACAUUGAUUUUUGGCAUGUAACGUACAGGAUAGUUGGGAGACGGAGAAGAUAGCCCCCCAGGGUUAUCAGAGUCGCUGUUGGGAUACCAACCUUUAUGUGCUAGGGAUCUAACUCGAGAAGUAACGAAGCUGAGGACAGUAUCAGGUGGGCAGUUUGACUGGGGCGGUCGCCUCCGAAAGAGUAACGGAGGCGUCCAAAGGUUCCCUCAGCGCGGACAGAAAUCGCGCGAAGAGUAUAAAGGCAGAAGGGAGCUUGACUGCGAGACAUACAGGUCGGGCAGGUACGAAAGUAGGGCUUAGUGAUCCGGUGGAAUGAGAGUGGAAUUGCCAUCGCUCAACGGAUAAAAGCUACCCUGGGGAUAAC
rnacentral:rRNA from 1 species